ACACGAAAACUGCUGCUGUUCUGCAGAGAAAAACAAAUGGAUCUGAACUCACAAAGAAAAUACAAAUCCCCACCUUAAUGUCACACUUUAAAUUGCAUGUAUUUCGAGGGUUGAGAAGAGACGACCACUUCAUUCACAGUUGCCUAUUUCUAGUGACUCCUGCAGCAGCACUCUGUGUUUCCACUGGUUGCCCUUCAGCUGGCAGCAUGAAUGAGUCAGGUCAUUUGUUCCCUGCUAUGUUUAGCUGCUUCUAUUUUGGAAGCUGUGAGAGAAGCGACCCUGCCUGAGGACUGGAGCAGACUCCUGCUGCCUCCUCUGUCCAGCUCCUCGCCAGGAUUUUUGUGUAAUUCUCGCGGGGGAUCUUUUUUGGAGGAUUCACGAUGUCGGUGCCCAGCGGCGGCAGUGACAGCGGCGAGCGAGGAACGCACGCUGAUCCGGCCUCGGCUAAACUAACGGUGGUGGUGGGAGACACGCACUUCUCUGAGGAGAAGACGUUGCUGGUUCAGAGCUGUGACUAUUUCCAAGCGCUGUAUCGCUCUGGCAUGAAAGAGUGUCGGCAGCGGGAGAUCCACCUGAAGGGCCUGCGGGCGCGAGGCUUCCUCAUCACCCUGUCGGUGCUGCGGGGGCAGGCGCCCGUCCUGGACGCCGACGACCUCGUUGAAGCCAUUGAAUGCGCCGCCUUUCUUCAGGCCGGGGGCCUCACCAAGCAUCUCAUUGACCUGAUCGACUCUGACAACUGCCUGCUGAUGUAUCACACGGCCGCCACCUUCGGCCUCAUGGACCUCCGCCACGCUGCCGCGCUCUUCAUCCGAGACGUGUACGCCGACGUGGAGGCCGACGCCAGGAGAGCUCUGCCGCCGGAGCUGAUCCGCUACGUGGAGUCCUUGAGCCGGAGUGCGUUCGUGGCCGUGGGGGCGCACGUGACCUGCGGCGCCGAGGAAACGGUGCAUGCUGCCUCCAGGACAAUCUGCUACCUGGAUGAGAGCGCGGACCACUGGGAAGUGCUGUGCGAUCUGCCACCGGAGGCCAGCACGUCCAUGGCCGGCGUCACCGUCCUAGACAACAAGCUCUACGUCGUGGGAGGAGUUCACCGGGUCCAGAAGCAGGUGGUGGACGCUUGUUUCUGCUACAGUGUUGAAGACAACAGCUGGAGCAGGACCGUGGGUCCGGCGCAGCCGCGGUACAACCUCAGCCUCGUGGGCGCGGACGGUCGACUUUACGCCGUCGGAGGAGAGUGCGAGAGAACGGUGAUGUCGUCAGUGGAGACCUACGAGGUCAAGUCUGGGAGGUGGGAGUUCGCUGCUCACCUGCCUCGACCGGCGGCGGGAGCCGCCUGCACCACGGCCAUGGGCAGGAUAUUUGUUUGCCUGUGGAGGCCGAUGGAGACCACAGAGAUCUACGAGUACGCGCCGGAGAAGGACGCGUGGCUGCUGGUGACCACGCUGAUCCGGCACCACAGCUACGGACACUGCGUGGUCGGCCACAGGGACAACCUCUACGUGAUGAGGAACGGGCCGUCGGACGACUUCCUCCGAUGCCUGAUGGACUGUUACAGCCUGCGCUCGGGCCAGUGGUCGUCUCUGCCCGGACACUUCGCCAACAGCAAAGGCUCGCUUUUCACGGCGGUGAUAAGAGGCGACUCUGCGCUCACGCUCAACAGGACCAUGACCCUGGAGUACAGCAUCCAAAGUCAGACCUGGAGACCCAGACGGCAGAUGAAGGGCUUCCCCAGAAGCGGGUCCGUGUGGACCUUCCUGCUGCGGCUGCCGGACAAAUGAGGCGGUCUGCUGUGACGCUGGACGCAUUUAAACAUCUGCACACACAGGGGUUUAAACAAUAGGGAGAUGGUUCCCAGAGUCCUGAGCAGAACGAGCCACUCAGACAACAGGAGGUGCCGGUGUCAGGCCGGGACAGAGCUUCUCCUUUUGUGUGUUUUUGUUCUUUGAGGCUGAGGAGUGAGGCCACACUGAGCUGCUCGUAUUAAGGAGGCUUCACCACGAGCAUCCAGCUCUGCUUGGUCCUGAGGCUGUUGGUGGAGACCAGUCAAUAUGUUUUGGCUCCUCGACUUGGACAAAGAUUUAAGGGGUUAAUUGUUCGAUAAACAUCCCACAAACACUGGUUGUGUUAUAGUUUGUUUGUGUUAUAGCGACCACACACCUCCCUCUCAGUCUGGGGCCAGUGAUCUUACCACUCCCUUUCUUUGUGACUCUUAGAAACGAGACCCUCCCUCGCCCUCUAACCUCCCACUCCCCCACAAGAAGAAGCAGACAAUGAUCUUUGACUCCCAUGAAUAUUAAGUGUGCAGCAUUUGUGCGGCAUUAACUGCUUUCUAAUGUAUGUCCCUGUGUGCACGCAGCUGUGGAGGCGUGUCUGAGGCCGCUUGUCACCGGGCCACAGACGUCCGAUAUUCGCUGCAGCAUGUGUGUGUGUGUGUGUUUGUGUGUGUGUGUGUGUGUGUGUGUGUGUGUGUGUGUGUGUGUGUGUGUGUGUGUGUGUGUGUGUGUGUGUUGCGGGGGGGUAACAGGCCGUCUCACAGCAUUCAAAGGUAAACUUCUGAAAUGAGUAGAAUGAUUUACAGAGCUACAGAAUGUGUUCAUCUGUGCUAACGUGCAGCAUCUGGUUGGAAGGAACAAAGAGCAAACGCACAGUUUCUCUUGUCUCUGGUGUCGUACACAAUUACAACAGACAACAUUGACCCAACCCAGAACUACAAAAGGAAGGACAAUCUUUCAGAGGCAUAGGUGAAGGAUAGAGGGUGAAUGAUUACCAGCCUCAGAUAACUGUGGACACAAUACAAGAGAAGCUCAAAUAACCAAAUAACUUUUUUUUUAUUUCUUGCACCACAAUUUUGAAAAUCCACACAAACCCAUUGACCUUCCGCUUUAAGCUGCUGUUCCGCAGGCGUCGUAAACACCAUUAACGGUGAAUUAAGCAGGCUUAUAUAUUGUGUUGCACUGGUGGAGAACUAGUUAGCUAACUUUACUAGACAGCCAUUGUUUGCAAGUUGCUUGCAAGCUAUAAACGAAGGUUUCCAGGUCAGAUGUGUAUGGGGUGCCAAAUGUAAAAGGAGCAUGUAUAACUCGUUUUCUGACAUUUAGUUAAAUGUUAAAAUUUAGGUAGUCUAAGUCUAAAGUGUAAAUAUAAAGAUUUAUGUAAAAUGUAAUGUAAAAAUAAAUGUUAAAUGUUAAAUAUAAAUGGUAAAUAUAAAUUUAAAUGUAAAUGUAAAUUGUUCAACGAGUGUGCAAGUAGACUCCACCCCGACCCUCAAAGAGUGCUCAUUAAGUUGAUCCUAGAUCAGUGACCUGGACUCAAACACCUUAAACGGUGUGCGCAAACCCCGCCCACAUCUGUUCGGCAGCGCUGUUUGAACAUUUAGAAUUAUUAUUUAUAUUUACAUUUGUAAUUACAUUUAACAUGUUCAUUUAGACUUUGUCACAUUAAGCUAACCGUAGAAAACCUUUUGUAUCAUUUGUUAAAUGUGAGCAAACUAGUUAUACAUGCUCCUAUUACAUUGGGCACCUCAUACUACAUACAUACUGAGAGUUCCAGUCUUGAGGAAGUGGCGGAAUUUAAGCAGCUGAUUAAUGCAAAAGUUAACUAUUUAUUGUUUUAUUGUUGAAUAAAUCUCCGGCAGGCAGCUUUAGCUGUCUCAUUACACAAAAAGCCUCUGGACUUUCUGAUUGUUGCUGUGGGAGGAGACCCAGACUCCCCCGGUUAAAGAUCAGCCCCACUGUUGCUGCUCAUUCACUCAGUUCCUAUCAAAGCUCAACAUUAAUUGACCUAUCGGCAUCCAUUUGCUCCUACAGAAAAAUUCAGGAUGGAUGAGAAUCAGCAUCCUGUGAAGCUGUCGGUCCAUCCGUCCAGAGGACUCGUGGAUGAGAAGUUCACGGUCCUGGUCCAGAACGUCCCCCCUGGUUUCCAGCUGACGGUCCACGCUCUCCACCAGUGCAACAGUAGUCACAUCUGGGAAGCAUUCGGUCACUACACAGCUGAUGCCACUGGAACAGUCAAUGGUACAGCGUCUAGUUCUGCAGACCUUUGCAGUUGGAGAGGAUCCCAGUCUGGGUGGAACAUAUUCUGGGGUCGAACAGAUGGGUCUACUGUGGAGCCUCAGACCGGUUCCAGGCAGCAGACCUGGACUCAGGAUGCAUAAGCUUAACGUCCAGACUCCCAUGGAGG